rnacentral:rRNA from 1 species
AUAGACCCGUUUCAUUUCCCUGGCCCUGCUGCAGCAGCCAUGUUCCGCUCACCCAUGCUCCUACUGCUCACCCUCCUCCUCUCUAGCACCACCACUAUAGCUGCCCAAAGCCCGCCGUCGUGCGAGCCAGCGUCGUGCGGCGACCUCCGCAUCACGUACCCGUUCUGGCUCGGCGGCACGCACCCGCCGGAGUGCGGCUACCGUGCCUUCCAGGUCACGUGCGACGACCGCGCCGGCAGCAAGGCCUUACCAAGGUCAGUUUGGACGUACCAGAUCCUCGACAUCUCCUAUCAAGACAGUUCGCUGCGCAUCACAAAUGUCGAGCUCUCCCACGGCAUGUGCAACACCGAGCUCCAAGUGACCGCCUCCUCCAACCUCAGCCUCGCGCCUUUUGGCAUCAGCGACGCCAACCAGGAGCUCUUCUUCCUCUACAACUGCAGCGCCCUGCCGCCUCCGCCUGCAUGGGCGCCCAUGAACUGCGCCACUGGAUCCAAGCGGCCGCUCAACAACUCAUUUGCGUGGCUUGCUGGGGUGUACAAGCCAGACGACAUUUCGAGGCAGGUGCACAGGAGCUGCGCGGCGUCGAUGAUGCCAGUGCUCGGGUACAAGGGGGCGACCGGGGUGGACUACCAGCGGCUGAUGGAGGACGGGUUCCUUCUUGAGUACACGGCCGGCGACUGUGCGGCGUGCAUGGAGAGCGGAGGAACUUGCCGGACUAAUAUCACCAACGAUAUCUUCGAGUGCCACUGCCCCGACGGAUUUUCUUCGUCCAACAUCUGCGGUGAGCUUCACAAAUUUGAUCUAUAA